rnacentral:lncRNA from 1 species
AGCUUAUGUAGUUGAACUCUGUGGGCAGGCUGCUGUCACAGCACUGCUUCCUCUUUUUUCUUAAGACUUCCAUUCUGUGCUUGUAGGUACAUGGACACCAGUGCAGGAGCUCCCAGGGGUCCAGGUUAAUUGAGACUGCUGGUCCUCCUCCAGGAUCACCCUUCUCCUCUUCUUCUUUCAGCCUUUUCCUAAUUCAACCACAGGGGUCAGCUGCUUCUGUUCAUUGGUUGGGUGCAAAUAUCUGCAUCUGACUCUUUCAGCUGCUUGUUAGGUCCCUUUUUGUGAUCCCUCUACAGCCUCAGUAAUAGUGUCAGGCCUUGGAACCUCCCCUUGAGUUAGAUCCCACUUUGGGCCUGUUGCUUGGACCUUCUUUUCCUCAGGCUCCUCUCUCCAUUUCCAUCCCUGUAAUUCUUUCAGACAGGAACAGUUAUGGGUCAGAGUUGUGACUGUGGGAUGCCCGUCCCCCUCAUUUGAUGCCCUGUCUUCCUGCUGGAGGUGGGCUCUAUAAGUUCCCUCUCCCUACUGUUGGGCAUUUCAUCUAAGGUCCCUCCCUUUGAGUCCUGAGAGUCUCUCACUUCCCAGGUCUCUGGUGCAUUCUGGAGGGUUCCCCCAACCUCCUAUCCCCUCAGGUUGCCUGUUUUCAUCCUUUCUGCUGGCCCUCAGGGCUUCAGUCCUUUUCCCUUACCCAAUACCAGAUCAGGUCUUCCCCUCUUACCCCCCACCUCCACUUUCUCUCCCAGGCCCCUCCCUCCCUCCCCACUUGUGAUUGCUUUCUUCUCAUUCAUCACUUAAUGAUAUGCAAACAUUUGUUUUGUUUUUAUUUAACUCUGUGGGUUUUCCCCAGAGUUUUGUUGAUUGAGUUGUACUUGGUGAUGUUCUACUUACUGCACUUUUGAACAAUAAAUAUAUAAUUUCUGAAUCAUGAAAGACCAGUUUUUAUAUCAUUAGGAUAAUAAAUAAUCGAUUUGGAAAACGGCUGUAAAAGUAACUUUUAUUUUCCCUUACUAAUUGCUGUCUCUGAGGCUUAUUGCUUCAGUCUGUUAAUCUAGGCCUAGUCCUGGAAGCUUCUAACCUCCAUACAAUUUUAUCUAGGCCUAGACUGUUUUCAGCCUCUGAGACUUACUGCUGAAUAAGCUCACCCCUUCUUAGUUCUUUCUGAACUCUCGCUGGCUGGUUCAACUCAGCUGUUCUGGCUCACAUUCCUCUCCAAGUUGACUGAUUCAAUGUGGCUUCUCCCUCCCCCUCCCUUCUCCUGAAUUGCUCUGCUUGGCCUCAAACUAAUUCUGGCAGUCUGUUCUAAUCUUCUGGCUCCCUUUCAUUUUCUUGCUCAUUCUCACUUCAACCUGUCUCUGUAAAACUGUCCCAGUAAAACUGCCUCCUUCCUCCUUUCUCUGCACUGCUAUUAAGAAGCAUCUCUUUCCUCUGUCUCUCUCUGUGAGAGAUGGGCGUAUCCUAUUCUGUCAAAGCAUCAUUUUCAAACAUGGCUGCUUCCUUCUACAAACUAACUUAACUUCAUUGUUUGGGAUUGAAGGUGUGUGCUAAGGCGUGUUUGUAUUCCAGCCGGAGGGAUUAAGGGUGUGUGCUGUGGUCUGAGCCACACUCCAACUAGAAACAGGUUUUUUAUUCUUCUUCUUUAAACGUAAAUAACAUAAUCUCGGGUUCAUAGUGUGAUAAGAUAGCCUGCAACAGAAGGUAACUUCUACUCCUCCUCAUAAGUUGACAUCUUUGUUUUAUGAUUAUGAUUAUGUUUAUACUUUUCAAGUCAUUACCUUAAACUAAAUGUAUUGAAGUAUAUUCAGUAUAUUCAGAAGUAACCAGAAAAUAAAUUUUUUAACUUGACUCUGUUUAAUUAAAAAUUCUUAUUUUCAUAGAAUAGGUGUGCUUUGUAUGCUAAGUCUAAAGGAGACGAAUUAGGUUACUAGGAACUGGAUAUUUAGAUGGAGCUAUUCAAACAAAUCUCUAUUUUCCUUUUUUCUUUUCUCAUCUUUAAUUAUUUACUGGUUUAUUGACUGAUUUAAUUUGUGGUGUGUACGUCUGUGUGUGUGUCUGUGUGUGCCAUGGCCCUUGUUUGGAAGUCAGAAGACAGCUUAGGAGCCAAUUCUCUUUUAUCCUGGGCUCUUGGGCUCAUGAACUGAGCUUGGCACCAAACAUUCCCGUUCACCGGGCCAUCUUAGGAGUCUACCUUUUUAACUUUGAGAAAAUAAGGCUUUUAGGGGAGGGGGCUUUUAGGGAACAGAUUUCAAAAACUGCUUGAAUGAAAGAAUGUUUGCAAAUAAAUUAGAAUCAUAGUGAUUCUUAUUUUAUAAAAAAUGUUUUUAAAAACCAUUUUUAUUUUGUUUUUUAGCAUCUCAGCCCAGGAUGAGCCAGGAUGGUCUUUGAACUUGAAAUCUUCCUGCCUUAAUAUUUAUAGAGUACUGGGAUUGCACAUGUAUGCUAUUGUUCUUGGCUUUGAUAAUGUGUUUAAAGGCAACUCUCAUGCAUUCUAGAUACCUUAUACAUUGCUGACUUAAAUAAAUAGAAGUCUACGGGGACUGGAGAGAUGAUUUCUAUCUUAGGGGUUUACUGCUGUGAACAGACAGCAUGACCAAGACAACUCUUAUAAGAACAACAUUUAAUUGGGAUUGGCUUACAGGUUCAGAGGUUCAGUCCGUUAUCAUCAAGGCAGAGGCAUAGCAGUGUCUAGGAAGGCAUGGUGCAGGAGGAGCUAGCUGACAGUUCUACAUCUUCAUCUUCAUCUGAAGGCUGUUAGGAGAAGAUGCUUAGGAGGAGGAUCUCAAAGUCUAUCCUCUAAGUGAUAUACUUCUCUAACAAGACCACACCUCUUAAUAGUGCUGUUUCCUGGGCUAAGCAUAUUCAAAUCAACACAAUGUUUUAGUGGCUAAAAGCACUUGCUACUUUUCCAAAGGAAGAGUUCUCAGUUCUCAGCACCCAUGGAGUGCCUCACUAUUCCUAACUCCAGUACUAGGGUUUCUAACACUCUCUUCUGACCACCAUGGGCACCAUGCACACAUGGUGAGCAUAUUCAUACAUGGAGGCAAAAUGCUAAGACAC